rnacentral:lncRNA from 1 species
AAAAGGUCUUUCACUUCUGUUUUCUUGCCUCUUGAGUGUCUUGUUGCAGGACUAGGAAAGCAUCACCAUAAUAAUGCCUUGCUAUAGGGAAACUCUUCUCUAGUGAUUUAAGUUGUUCCUGGGCAUUUGUGGAAUCUAGAUAUCCUUACAUAAAUCAGGAUGUGAUCUUUGAGUAAAAUAAAUAAAUCUAUGGGGGAAAGGGGAGGUGGGGAAGUGGAAGGAAGUAGUGACUAAUAUGUUUAUAUUUUGGGGAUCAUUAUAAUAAGUGUAAUGUAAUUAUUCCAGUUUUACAGAUGGAGGAACUGAGGCUAAGAAAACUACAUGUCUUGUGAGGUGACAUAAGUGUUUAGUGACAGAAUUGCUCUUUCCUGCUCCUAUCUAAAGAGUUCCUCAAUGUGCAUCUCCCUGCGUUCUGAAUUAACUCCAGUUUCGCGGAACGGACGAACAAGGCCAUUUCUGGUCGUUUUUCCCUGUUCUGUCGAAUCCCAAGUGCCCCUGAAUGCAGCCCAUUGGUUUUGGGAUGUGGAGAGCCAUAUGUGCAGCCCCACUUCUCUAAGGUAAGUUGCUGUACCAAGGUUAAAGCGUACAGCACCCAUGUGGCAAAGAGCUUCUGUAGCCACAGCUUUAGGUGGCACUUGAGUACAUUAGGAAGCAGGAAGGCCUGUGAGCUACAAAGGGCUCUGUCUGCGAGGAUGAUGCCGUGAUGUCUGGCAGCGUUCACCAGCCAUGCAGUGAGGUCACUUCUAAAAGUAUCGCGUUGCAGCGCCGAGCUUCCUGGCGUGAUGGCAGGCAGCUCUCGUGAACCUCGGCCGCUCCUCAGCAGCCAUGGUUAUUCUUAGAGACACUUCCCAUUCCUCAGGAAAAGCUACUGUGAGAGGCUUAGCUGGCUUUUAUCUUUAGAAGCGAGUAUUUAAAUGUUGGACUAAUUUGUAGCUCAUUCGCAGCUCAGCUGCAGCCCUGCCAGCUGCGCUGGGAUCAGUGACAAGUCUUUCUUCCGCCUCCAAAGCGCACUUGCAGACAGAUCCAGGGCCUAGGAGCACAUUGCCCCAGAGGCAACUCGGCUUUCUCACAAGCGUGUAGCUGCCUGGGGGAGUUUUCCAGAACAAGUAGCAUAUUAGGCUUUCC